rnacentral:lncRNA from 1 species
GCGCAGAGGGUAGUGAGGGAAGGAGUGAGUACAGACACGCAAGGGAAAGAAGCACUGCUGAGAUGGGCCCAGCUUCAGAGCCAUAAAGGAGCUCUGUUCUGUAAGGACAAGGGCCAGAGCAAGAAUUGGAGCAUCAUGGAGCAGCAGUUUGGAAAGGACAUCAAAGGAGGAGUGGAGCCUUGCAUGACAGCGCUGCCUUCUGCUUCCCUUACUUUGAGCACUACCAGCUGAGCUUCAAAAGUGGGCAAUUCAAAUUAUCAGUCAGACAAAACAG